CACCGCCCGUCACGCUAUGGAAGUCGCUAACACCUGAAGUCGCUGAGCUAACCGCAAGGAGGCAGGCGCGAGGGUGGGAGGGAUAACUGGAGCG
rnacentral:rRNA from 1 species